rnacentral:lncRNA from 1 species
AAUAUAAAAUGUUUAAUAUAAUUUAGGUUUAACUUUAACCAAAAGCACAAAAUCCUAUAAGCUCAUAACUUACAAAUCAAAUUUUAAAUCACUUUCUCACAGUCUUGCUCAUCCUUUCCAAAUCAUUCAUGCAGUAGUAAGCACCCAACUCGUCUUCAUCUCAUCAUAACCUAGUAGCACGUUGCAUUGUCAAUGGUUGAGUAGCCUAACUCAUCGCAACGUCAACUAGCAACCACACAUGGGGGUUUGUUGCGCCAUAGUCGGUGAUCAGCAGGUAUCAUUACUCAUGGACAAUAAUCACGUUAAUAUUGUAUAAAAAUCAUAUUAUUUGAAUUU